CAAGUCGAGGGGUAACAGAGGGAGCUUGGCUCUUGCUGAGAACAGCGGCGCGGGGGCGAAUCGCGUAUGGAUCUUGCUUGGACUUGGGGGAGCCUUUUGAAUGAACAGCUCCCCCCAUAGUCUCUUACAGUGGCAUCACUUCUUCGGCUCUGUUACUUUAAUUGGUGAAGUGGGAUUCUAUUAGUUUGUUGGUGUGGGCUCACCAAGGCAACACUACCAAGCUGGUUUGCCCUGAUAAUCGGAUCCCCCGCAACGGAACUGAGACCCAGACUCCAAUCCUACGGAACGCUGGGGAAUAUUGUAUUGUGCAAUGAAGCCUGAUCUAAUCCUGCCAUGUGUGGGGAAAAAGGAUUCCCCUAUGAAUUGAAUUCUGCUCUUGAGUAAAAGGAGUGACUCACUCCUGCGCAACCUUGACGUUACUGCCAGAAUAAGGACCGGCUAACUCCGUGCCAGCAGCCGCGGUAAUACGGAGGGUGCAAGCGUUAUCCGGAAUCACUGGGUUUAAAGGGUCCGUAGGCGGUUUGUUAAGUCAGAUGUGAAAGUUUGCGGCUCAACUGGAAAACUGCCUUUCAAACUGGUAGUCUAGAGUGAUUAUAGAGUGUGUUAGAAUAUCUAGGUGUAGCGGUGAAAUGCAUAGAUGAUCAUCUAUA
rnacentral:rRNA from 1 species